UUGGUGAAAGUGAAGUGGACUCAUCUAUGACCAAAGUGUAAGUGGGUACACUCCUCCAGAACUUGUUGCAGAGAAACCCAUCCAGGAAGGCAUAGGAUCUGCAGAAAAAGAUGGAUGUCCACAAAAUCAAGUGUUUUAUGUUUCGUCCAAUGUUGUCACCAUAUUACCAUCAUUAUAUGUUCCGCACCUACCAUAUGUGGACGAGUCGCAAAUCCAUUACAAAGAAGAGAACCUGCUGGGUGAAGGUGCCUUUGGAAGAGUGUAUAGAGGCUACUUUCAGGGCACCCCUGCUGCAAUAAAAAAGAUUCUGUAUGGCACCGCAGGACUUCCAGACCAAGAUAUCCAGCACGAGAUUCUGGUCUUACUCCGACUGAGCCAUCCCAAUAUUGUUCGACUCAUGG